rnacentral:rRNA from 1 species
AAUGGGCGAAAGCCUGACCCAGCGACGCCGCGUGAGUGAUGAAGGCCUUCGGGUUGUAAAGCUCUGUGGAGGGGGACGAAUAAGGGUUGGCUAACAUCCAGCUCGAUGACGGUACCCCUUUAGCAAGCCCCGGCUAACUCUGUGCCCGCAGCCGC